GUUGGCCUGAAAGCCAGUCUUCCAUCGUGGAAAAUCAGUGGUUUCAUGUAUUCCUCUCUCGGUACGUGUUGCCAGCUUCUCUUGUCGGCUCUUCUCACCAGGUAAAUUUCCUGUUGCACCAAAUGCAUGAAGAUUCAAACCUUCAUAUCCAAA